CUAAGCCAUGCAAGUCGAGGGAGUCUUCGGACGACCGGCAGACCGCUGAGUAACACGUCAGUAAUCUGCCCUAUGGUUCGGGAUAGUCUCGGGAAACUGAGUUUAAUACCGAAUAGAGCCUGGUACCUGGAAUGGUCCGGGUUUGAAAGAUUACGCCAUAGGAUGAGCUGGCGGCUGAUUAGGUAGAUGGCGGGGUAACGGCCCACCAUGCCGACGAUCAGUAGGGGCCAUGAGAGUGGAAGCCCCCAGAAGGACACUGAGAUACUGGUCCUAGCCCUACGGGGUGCAGCAGGCGCGAAACCUUUACAAUGCACGCAAGUGUGAUAAGGGGAUUCCAAGUGCUCAUGCAUAGCAUGGGCUUUUUAGAAGAGUAAAAAUCUUCUAGAAUAAGUGGUGGGAAAGACUGGUGCCAGCAGCCGCGGUAACCCCAGCGCCACAAGUGGCAAUCGCAUUUAUUGGGUCUAAAGCGUUCGUAGUUGGUUUGAUCAAUCUCUUGUGAAAUCGUGGAAGCUUAACUCUACGGCGCGCAGGAGAUAUUGUCAGGCUAGGGACCGGGAGGAGUCAGAGGUAUUCCUGAGGGAACGGUAAAAUGUUAUAAUCUUAGGAGGACCACCUGUGGCGAAGGCGUCUGACUAGAACGGGUCUGACGGUGAGGGACGAAAGCCAGGGGAGCGAUCCGGAUUAGAUACCCGAGUAGUCCUGGCCGUAAACUCUGCGAACUAGGUGUUGCAUAUCUCAUGAGGGUAUGCAGUGUCGAAGCGAAGGUGUUAAGCUCGCCGCCUGGGAAGUAUAGUCGCAAGACCGAAACUUAAAGGAAUUGGCGGGGGAGCACUACAAGGGGUGCGGCGUGCGGUUUAAUCCAACUCAACACGGAGAAUCUCACCAGGAGCGACGGCAGAAUGAAAGUCAGUCUGAAGGGCUUACUUGACGAGCCGAGAGGUAGUGCAUGGCCGCCGUCAGCUCGUGCCGUAAGGUGUCCUGUUAAGUCAGGCAACGAGCGAGACCUGUGCCUACAAUUGCCAGCAUAUCAUUUUAUAGGACUGAGCACAUUGUAGGGACUGCCUUGGAAACAAGGAGGAAGGUGCAGGCAACGGUAGGUCUGUAUGCUCCGAAUCUGCUGGGCUACACGCGCGCAACAAUGAUAAGGACAAUGGGCUGCGACUCCGAAAGGAGGAGCUAAUCCUCGAAACCUUAUCCAAGUACAGAUCGUGGGUUGGAACUCACCCACGUGACGAUGGAUCCCUAGUAAUCGGCCUUCAC
rnacentral:rRNA from 1 species